AUGGAGCCGGAGAGACCGGGAAUCCAGGGGCAAAGCUACUCUUUUCCUUUUCAAAAACCUCGCCCUUCCCUUCCCCUCCCCUGGUUCAUCUCCCCCUGUCCCCUUGCCGCGCCGCGCGACUCUCGUCAAUCAUCGAUGGUUCUCAUGGCGGCCGCCUCCGACGACCAUCACCACCGCCGCCGCCAUCGUGCGGCGAAACGCUCGCUGACUCCGCCCCAGCCCGAGUCCCCGUCCCCGGCCCCAGCCCCACUCGAUUGCUUCUCCUUCACCUGGGGCGUGCGACGUCGCCUCCGCUGCUCCAAGGACGGCGCCCCCGUCACCGCCACCGCGUUGCCGUCUCCUCCCCAGCAGCCGGUCACCCCGUCGCCGGACAAGGAGAAGACGCCCCAGGGCGACGCCGCCGGCUCCUCCUCCCGGCCGCAGCGGUCCCGGUACCUCCGCCCGCUUCGCUACACCGCGACGAAUCCCGCGUCCAGAUCAACGGACGCCGGCGCGGGGCAGGCGCUCCACUCGCCCGCCUCCGCGCCUCCGGCGCCGCCGACGGAGCCGCAGCAGCCUAGGAAGAGGGGAUUCGCCGUCGCCCUCACCAAACAGGAGAUCGCCCGGGACUUCGCCGCCGUCCGCUGCAAGCGCCCGCCGCGCCGCGGCAAGAAGCGGUCCAAAGCCCAGCAGGCCAAGAUCGACGCGCUGUGCCCGGGAUUCUUCCUCUCGACGGUGGACCUGGACAACUACAAGAUCGAUGAUAACAAUAAUAGGUGA
rnacentral:rRNA from 1 species